AUUGCACGUUGGCGGAAGGCCUAACACAUGCACGUCGAACGAGUGGCGGACGGGUGAGUAAUGUCUGGGAAACUGCCCGAUGGAGGGGGAUAACUACUGGAAACGGUAGCUAAUACCGCAUACAAUCGGAUGUGCACAUGUGGGAUUAGCUAGUAGGUGGGGGAACGGCUCAACUAGGCGUCGAUCCCUAGCUGGACUGCGAGGAGUACCAGCCACACUGGAACUGAGACACGGUCCAGACUCCUCCGUGAUGCAGCAGUGGGUAAUAUUGCAUAAUGGGCGCGAGCCUGAUGCAGCCAUGCCGAGUGUAUGAAGAAGUUCUUGGGGUUGUAAAGGACUUUCAGCGAGUCGGCGUUACGCGCAGAAGAAGCACCGGCUAACUCCGUGCGAGCAGCCGCGGUGAUUC
rnacentral:rRNA from 1 species